rnacentral:rRNA from 1 species
GUAGUCUCGCACAGAUGCAUAUCAAUAAGCGGAGGAAAAGAAACUAACAAGGAUUCCCUUAGUAACGGCGAGUGAAGCGGGAAGAGCUCAAAUUUGAAAUCUUCAAGGUUUUACCUUGACGAAUUGUAGUUUAAAGAAGUGUUUUCUGUUGAAGUUUUGGUAAAAGUUCUUUGGAAUAGGACAUCACUAGAGGGUGAGAAUCCCGUAUUUGACCAUUAUUUUCAGCUGUGUGAUACACUUUCAAAGAGUCGGAUUGUUUGGGAAUGCAGUCCAAAAUGGGUGGUAAAUUUCAUCUAAAGCUAAAUAUUGGCGAGAGACCGAUAGCGAACAAGUACCGUGAGGGAAAGAUGAAAAGAACUUUGAAAAGAGAGUUAAAACAGUACGUGAAAUUGUCAAAAGGGAAGCGUUUGACACCAGUGUUGUUUUCUCGAAAAUCAAUUAAAAAGAGUUAGAUUUUGUUGUGUAUUGACCUUAACAGCUUGCAUUUCAAUUUUCUUGCUUUUUUUAAUGCACUUUUCGUUUAACAAGUCAACAUCAGUUUCUUUUGUUGUAAAAAGGUCAUUGGAAGGUGGCUUUCUUUUCGGAGAAAGUGUUUAUAGCCUUUGACUCCUGCAAUCGGAGAGACUGAGGUCUGCAGCGUAGAUCCUUCGGGGUUAGAUACAUUUGUGCUAAGUUAUAGCUUUUUAUAGACAACUUGUUGACUAUGAUUAGUCUUGUAGCUUACUCGCUUAUGCUAUUUUACCUACGCUUAGGAUGUUGAGCGCAUGUCUCUCUCU